rnacentral:rRNA from 1 species
AUUGAACGCUGGCGGAAUGCUUAACACAUGCAAGUCGAGCGAGCUGUAGCAAUACAGCUAGCGGCGGACGGGUGAGGAAUACAUAGGAAUCUGCCUCAGAGCGGGGGAUAGCCCGGGGAAACUCGGAGUAAUACCGCAUGAUGUCGCAAGACCAAAGUGGGGGACCGCAAGGCCCCACACUCUGAGAUGAGCCUAUGUCGGAUUAGCUAGUUGGCGGGGUAAUGGCCCACCAAGGCGAAGAUCAGUAGCUGGUCUGAGGGGACGAUCAGCCACAACGGAACUGAGACACGGGCCGGACUCCUAAGGGAGGCAGCAGGGGGGAAUAUUGGACAAUGGGCGCAAGCCUGAUCCAGCAAUUCCGCGUGGGUGAAGAAGGCCUUCGGGUUUUAAAGCCCUUUAAGUUGGGACAAAAAAAUCGGCGAUAACAUCGCCGGUCUUGAUGGUACCGACAGAAUAAGCAACGGCUAACUCUGUGCCAGCAGCCGCAGUAA